rnacentral:lncRNA from 1 species
GUGCAAAAUAGAAACAAACAUUCAAGAUGAGUGAGUGAUGAGUUCUGCCUGUGGUCAGAAGAAAACAACACUCCCAACUCUGCAACCUGAUCACUUCCCUACUUAGUCCUGUUUGUGGAGCCGCCUUAUUAACGACAUUAGAACAAAGAUAUGAAGACAAUGAGGUCCUCCACCAGUGCUUCCUAGAACCUGGGGACAACACAGUUGUUAUGCAGCCAAUCCAUGCCCUGGAUGCAAGUUUCGCAGGCUCCAGUAUCAUUCUGGUCAUUCCUCUGCAAAACACUACUGAAAAAGCAGUUACGCAUGGGAUCUUGAAU